UCUAACAGAACUGACUCAAAGUGAAUGCCAGCCAGCGUUGCUAGUAACAAUGUAUUCAUACAGCAUAUGAUCUGUGUCUAUUCAGGCUGCUUCUUGCUCUUGUGUUAGAAUAAGAAAGGAGUGCUGCUUUCCUGGGGUGUGCUAUUUGAGAAAGAAAGUAACCUAACACUAACUGCAGGCGGGGUCAGAGUGAUGUAACAGGAAGCUCUGAUGUUUCCCUUCUGCUGCUGAUCACUUAAUCUGCAACAUUUCCAAUCCACUCAGAACAACCUCUCUCCCCAGCAGAGUGUCAUCUCCUGGUUUAGGAUCAUCAAGUUCUGCUAACUGGAUCUCAUUCUGUCUGCAGGAUCAGAUUGCAAGGCUUUCACUCUUCCCCACCUUGCCUGGGGGAAAAUCUCUUCUGUGGAAUCUCAGAAAAUCAGAUAUCAUCAUAAGAAUAUUUCAUCAAGAAUUUCCUUAAGAGCGGUGUGGGGUCCUACGAUGACACACCAACCACUUGUGCUGCCACCUGUCAAAACUUUGGAUGUCCCUACUUUCAGGUAUUGCAUACAUUACAAAAGAACAUUUUUGACGCAAUGAAAUAAUAUGCUGGUUUACCAAUAAAACCAAGGACAA
rnacentral:lncRNA from 1 species